GUAGGGAAUAUUGGGCAAUGGUCGGAAGACUGACCCAGCCAUGCCGCGUGCAGGAAGACGGCCCUCUGGGUUGUAAACUGCUUUUAUCUGGGAAGAAAAAGGCCAUGCGUGGCAAAUUGCCGGUACCAGAUGAAUAAGCACCGGCUAACUCCGUGCCAGCAGCCGCGGUAAUACGGAGGGUGCGAGCGUUGUCCGGAUUUAUUGGGUUUAAAUGGUGCGUAGGCGGCUGAUUAAGUCAGCGGUGAAAGACUUCGGCUUAACCGGAGCAGUGCCGUUGAUACUGGUUGGCUUGAGUGUCGGAGGGGUACAUGGAAUUGAUGGUGUAGCGGUGAAAUGCAUAGAUACCAUCAGGAACACCGAUAGCGAAGGCAUUGUACUGGCCGACAACUGACGCUGAUGCACGAAAGUGUGGGGAUCGAACAGGAUUAGAAACCCGGGUAGUCC
rnacentral:rRNA from 1 species